CAAAAAAUAGUUUAAUUUAGAAUUCUGGUUUUGGGGACCAGGGGCGGGGGUUCGAGCCCCUCUUUUUUGA
rnacentral:tRNA from 1 species